UGUGAAAAGGGGGGUAGGGAGGGGGGAAAUUUCGAAUAAUAAAGAGUGAAUAAGUCGUGCAAUGAUUAAGGUUCAUUAAUAGUGAUCUAAGGCCAACUAUUGUAAGAUCCUUACAUACUUGACACAUUACUAUCUAGCAUGUGAUGCACUUAAUUCAUUGCAUGAGUCGUACAGUACUUGAUUUAUUUCAUGAAUAGCACCACUAAUGCAUAUAACUUUCUU
rnacentral:lncRNA from 1 species